rnacentral:rRNA from 1 species
AACGAGGAAGGUGGGGAUGACGUCAAGUCCUCAUGGCCCUUACGGGCUGGGCUACACACGUGCUACAAUGGUGGUGGCAGUGGGCAGCGAGCACGCGAGUGUGAGCUAAUCUCCAAAAGCCAUCUCAGUUCGGAUUGCACUCUGCAACUCGAGUGCAUGAAGUUGGAAUCGCUAGUAAUCGCGGAUCAGCAUGCCGCGGUGAAUACGUUCCCGGGCCUU